rnacentral:rRNA from 1 species
GACGGAGGGGGCAAGCGUUAUCCGGAAUUAUUGGGCGUAAAGAGCUCGUAGGCGGUUUGUCGCGUCUGCCGUGAAAGUCCGGGGCUCAACUCCGGAUCUGCGGUGGGUACGGGCAGACUAGAGUGCAGUAGGGGAGACUGGAAUUCCUGGUGUAGCGGUGAAAUGCGCAGAUAUCAGGAGGAACACCGGUGGCGAAGGCGGCCCGCUGGGCAGAGACUGACGCUGAGGCGCGACAGCGUGGGGAGCAAACAGG